rnacentral:tRNA from 1 species
CUCUUAGUAGUAUAUAGAAUAUAUCUGGUUUCGGCCCAGAAGAACGUAAGCUAAGAAA